GCCCCGAUAGCAUAGCCUGGCCAAUGCACUCGCCUCGUAAGCGAGAGACCGCGGGUUCAAACCCCGCUCGGGGCU
rnacentral:tRNA from 1 species